rnacentral:lncRNA from 1 species
GCCGAGUUUUCCAGGCGGGAGGAUGGGGAAACCCUCAGAGGGCCCCCAGGACCGGGCUCGGGGGAGACGCCUCGAUGCCCCCCACCUCACGCUCGCCCCGCCCUCCGCGCCGCUCACCUGCGGACUCCCCGCCGCCAUCGCUCCGUACGGCGCCGCCAACAACCGGCACUUUUUCAAACUUCAGCCUUCCCGGGAAGCGGCGCGGCCCCGCCAGCGCCCUCUCGCGGGGUCCGGGUCGGGGAACUCCCGGCGGGCGGCCCUCAGGGAGCGAGGAUCCUCCUCCCGUCCCCGCGCAGCGCUCGGCCCUGGGGGGAGCUCAGCCCUCCGUCCCCGCCCUGAGGGAACGGCCAGGAUGGCGGCGGGAAGGAGAGGCGCGGCGGGCGGACGCUGAGGAAACCGAGGGACGGUGCUGCCCUGGAAAGGAGACGACGCCCAAUCUGUCUGCGACCAACUUUUCCCCUGUAGAGAUGCCCAUCUGCGGGGCAGGACCGAGACAACGCUGCGUCAGCUGGAUAUCUGGGACAAAAGUAACCCGAACCCAUCGGCAGCGUCACCACAAAACUGCCGAGCGCUGCCUCAGUGCCGCGCAGAGCUGAUACGCGGUGUAUCACAGCCUUCCCUUCGAGCGAGGCGCGCCAUCACUGCCUUCAGGUGGCAGAAACGUCCCCCUCAGAUCCCUCCUCGGCAGCACCGCGUAUUAUUCUUGCACUAAUGUGCUUUUCCAGCCCUGGAGCCAUCCAGAGUUGAUCGUAUUCCCGCGUACGUACUUAGAAAUUGGC